ensembl:misc_RNA
UGACUUCCCCUGGACACUGAAGUCCUCCCUUUGUCCACAGAACAGGUGCUGCAUACAAAGCAGCCAUGCAAACUUCUCUGUCUGCCUCAGCGCAAACCUGCUGGGGCUAUUUCCUGGGAAUGGCAGAGAGGCAGGUGGUUCAGUCUUCAAACUUGGCCUCUCAUCUGCGACUGAA